AAACAGUAGCCUGCAUGAUAAAUGUCCACAGGGGCAACGUCCUAAACAGUAGCCUGCAUGAUAAAUGUCCACAGGGGCAACGUCCUAAACAGUAGCCUCCAUGAUAAAUGUCCACAGGGGCAACGUCCUAAACAGUAGCCUGCAUGAUAAAUGUCCACAGGGGCAACGUCCUAAACAGUAGCCUGCAUGAUAAAUGUCCACAGGAGCAACGUCCUAAACAGUAGCCUGCAUGAUAAAUGUCCACAGGAGCAACGUCCUAAACAGUAGCCUGCAUGCAUUUCAAAACAAAAACUUUAAUGCAUGGGGCUAAGAUGGACGCUGAGUCCAAGGUGGAGGGGGCAGUUGACCAAUGGGGUCCCUCCAGGGAGUAUUACAUCUCCUCGUGAGGGACAUUUCCUCGUAUGCCACUUGAUGUCCAUGGUAAGCCUUCUCGUUUCUUUUUACCCGUAUUAAGGUCUGAUUUUCAUUGUCAAAUACAGAAUUUUAGCCAAAACAUUUUGUGAAGAGGUUUUUUCAAGUGCUUUGUCCAGGGCAAUAUAUAAUAGGGAUAGUAAAGCUGGCACACAUUUGAAAUAAUAUUUUUAGCAUCACAUGAGGGCCUGUAUGGAACCAUUGGGAAAAUGAUCAGUGUGUGUGUGGUCCUUGGAGGGGUUGGGCCACACUUCUUCUCUGAGCGACUCUUCGCAGCAGUGUGUGGGACGCCUGCUCCUCCACUCAGUCUGGAGGAGGUGAGCCACACUACUCUGAAAGCAUAUUGGAAAAUAUCAAAAAAGCAGAGGACCUAUCCGAGGUGAAGAACAAAUUGGAGGAAUCGGUAGACUGGCUGAGCCUACUGGGGCUGAAAAGGAUUGUUGUCAAGACAAUGGAGGACAGGGAUGGUGUGAUUGAAUUGGUGGCUCAACAAUUUGUCCGAGGGAGCAUGCAGGUGGCCUUGGAGCAGCAUUGGGGAACGACCCGGACAGCUUCCGAGUACUCUUUGUUGACCCCAUAAAGCCUCACUGCCAAGGACCUGAUGGACCUGUUUAAAGUAACCUAUUCCAUACCUGGCGGCAACCGGCGGUGGUUGGAGAACGACACCAUCUGCCACUGGUUCAACUGGCUGGCUGAGGUGCAAGAUGGAGAAUGUCCUCCUCUAACAGUGAUGAUGGUGUUGGAGUUUACUACUGGGGCAACGGGGGUGCCACCCCUGGGGUUUGAGGUCACCCCGACAAUCGAAUUCCUCCACACAGCGCGAGGGCGUCUCGCUGGGCAGCAGAAGAAAAAGUACCCAGAGGCAAACGUGUGUGCUGUCACACUAAGGCUCCCUCUUCAUAGCACCUACAAUGCCUUUAGAGAAUUCAUGACCUCCGGUAUUGUGAAUUCCCCGCAUUUCGAUGUUGCAUAAAAACAUUUUUAUGAUACCGAAUGUAUAGAAUUGUAUCCAGUAGCACUACACUAACAAUUGAGUGUUUCAAAAUGUAACUGCACAUCAACAUUUUAAGCAUUUAUCUACUGAUAGGUUUGGAUUUCUGAGCUUUAACUGGGAUUAAUCAUUAGUUAUAGGAUUAAUCAUUAGUUAUAUGAUUAAUCAUUAGUUAUAGGAUUAAUCAAUAGUUAUAGGAUUAAUCAUUAGUUAUAGGAUUAGGCUUCCUGCUUUUCUCAGGUUUUUGCCUGGCAUAUGAGUUCUGUUAUACUCACAGACAUCAUUCAAACAGUUUUAGAAACUUCAGAGUGUUUUCUACCCAGAUCUACUAAUAAUAUGCAUAUAUUAGCAACUGGGCCUGAGUAGCAGACAGUUUACUCUGGGCACCUUAUUCAUCCAAGCUACUCAAUACUGCCCCCAGCCAUAACAGGUUAUAGGAAUAAUCAUUAGUUAUAGGAAUAGGCUUCCUGCCUAGCAAUAACAUGCUAUGUUUAGCAAUAAGCAGGAGACUCCACCCAAAGUGGGGUAUGUAUACUACCACAG
ensembl:lncRNA